rnacentral:rRNA from 1 species
GUAUCAGAAGUGCGAAUGCUGACAUAAGUAACGAUAAAGCGGGUGAAAAGCCCGCUCGCCGGAAGACCAAGGGUUCCUGUCCAACGUUAAUCGGGGCAGGGUGAGUCGACCCCUAAGGCGAGGCCGAAAGGCGUAGUCGAUGGGAAACGGGUUAAUAUUCCCGUACUUGGUGUUACUGCGAAGGGGGGACGGAGAAGGCUAUGUUGGCCGGGCGACGGUUGUCCCGGUUUAAGCGUGUAGGUGUGUGUUCCAGGUAAAUCCGGUUCACUUUAACACUGAGGCGUGACGACGAGGCACUACGGUGCUGAAGCAACAAAUGCCCUGCUUCCAGGAAAAGCCUCUAAGCAUCAGGUAACAUCAAAUCGUACCCCAAACCGACACAGGUGGUCAGGUAGAGAAUACCAAGGCGCUUGAGAGAACUCGGGUGAAGGAACUAGGCAAAAUGGUGCCGUAACUUCGGGAGAAGGCACGCUGACACGUAGGUGAAGUGAUUUACUCAUGGAGCUGAAGUCAGUCGAAGAUACCAGCUGGCUGCAACUGUUUAUUAAAAACACAGCACUGUGCAAACACGAAAGUGGACGUAUACGGUGUGACGCCUGCCCGGUGCCGGAAGGUUAAUUGAUGGGGUCAGCGCAAGCGAAGCUCCUGAUCGAAGCCCCGGUAAACGGCGGCCGUAACUAUAACGGUCCUAAGGUAGCGAAAUUCCUUGUCGGGUAAGUUCCGACCUGCACGAAUGGCGUAAUGAUGGCCAGGCUGUCUCCACCCGAGACUCAGUGAAAUUGAACUCGCUGUGAAGAUGCAGUGUACCCGCGGCAAGACGGAAAGACCCCGUGAACCUUUACUAUAGCUUGACACUGAACAUUGAGCCUUGAUGUGUAGGAUAGGUGGGAGGCUUUGAAGUGUGGACGCCAGUCUGCAUGGAGCCGACCUUGAAAUACCACCCUUUAAUGUUUGAUGUUCUAACGUGGACCCGUUACCCGGGUUGCGGACAGUGUCUGGUGGGUAGUUUGACUGGGGCGGUCUCCUCCUAAAGAGUAACGGAGGAGCACGAAGGUUGGCUAAUCCUGGUCGGACAUCAGGAGGUUAGUGCAAUGGCAUAAGCCAGCUUGACUGCGAGCGUGACGGCGCGAGCAGGUGCGAAAGCAGGUCAUAGUGAUCCGGUGGUUCUGAAUGGAAGGGCCAUCGCUCAACGGAUAAAAGGUACUCCGGGGAUAACAGGCUGAUACCGCCCAAGAGUUCAUAUCGACGGCGGUGUUUGGCACCUCGAUGUCGGCUCAUCACAUCCUGGGGCUGAAGUAGGUCCCAAGGGUAUGGCUGUUCGCCAUUUAAAGUGGUACGCGAGCUGGGUUUAGAACGUCGUGAGACAGUUCGGUCCCUAUCUGCCGUGGGCGCUGGAGAACUGAGGGGGGCUGCUCCUAGUACGAGAGGACCGGAGUGGACGCAUCACUGGUGUUCGGGUUGUCAUGCCAAUGGCACUGCCCGGUAGCUAAAUGCGGAAGAGAUAAGUGCUGAAAGCAUCUAAGCACGAAACUUGCCCCGAG